rnacentral:rRNA from 1 species
GACGAACGCUGGCGGCGUGCUUAACACAUGCAAGUCGAACGAUGAAGCAGAGAAACGCGAGCGUCGGUGCGACUUUCACUUCGGUUUAGUGGCAGACGGGUGAGUAACACGUGAGCAACCUACCUCUUACAAAGGGAUAGCCUCGGGAAACCGUGUUUAAUACCAUAUGACACAUUCAUAAGGCAUCUUAAGUAUGUUAAAGCUACGGCGGGAAGCGAUGGGGUCGCGUCCCAUUAGCUAGGUGGUGAGGUAACGGCACGCCAAGGCGACGAUGGGUAACCGGGCGGAGAGGCGGAAAGAUUACAAUGGAAAUGAGACACGGACCAAACUGGGAGGCGGAGGUGGAGUGUGGUACACUGUACACGGGAGGGAAAUGCAGUGAAGCCACGUGGGGGGAGAGAUGAAGGAAUUCGUAUCGUAAAGCUCUGUGGUAUGGGAAGAAAAGGACUGUACCAUAGGAGAAAGCCCCGGCUAAAUACGUG